AGACAGCUAGGAGGUUGGCUUAGAAGCAGCCACCCUUUAAAGAAAGCGUAAUAGCUCACUAGUCGAGUCGGCCUGCGCGGAAGAUGUAACGGGGCUCAAACCACACACCGAAGCUGCGGGUGUCACGUAAGUGACGCGGUAGAGGAGCGUUCUGUAAGCCUGUGAAGGUGAGUUGAGAAGCUUGCUGGAGGUAUCAGAAGUGCGAAUGCUGACAUGAGUAACGACAAUGGGUGUGAAAAACACCCACGCCGAAAG
rnacentral:rRNA from 1 species